rnacentral:tRNA from 1 species
UCCCUGGUGGUCCAGUGGUUAGGACCCCACACUUCCACUGCAGGGGCAUGGGUUCCAUCCCUGUUUGGGGAA